GACAAGGUACUCACAGCAACAGAGGGACAAGACAAAGACUGGACACAACAGGAACCUAAAUACGCAGAACCAAACAAUAUAUAGGUGGAUAUGAUAAGACAAAUGAGAACUGAAACCACUGAACGAGACACAGAUGAAGACAAUAACAGACACGGAAACACUAGAGCAGGGCAAAACCAAAAUCGGGGCCAAGGCUGUGGCCGUGACAAUAGGUAGGCUAUCCAUUUCACAGAAAUGAGUCAAGUUUAUUUUUCCCCGCAAUAAACCCCUCCCAGAAAACACCUUUAAAAGCGCCCCGUUGAGUUGAACUGGAUCAGUCAGACUUUCAUAGAUUAACCAAUUUUCAUCACAAUGCAUUUUGUCAUACUUUUCGUUGGAUGUGCGCUGUUUUCCACAGUUUCUUAUCAUCGAAAUAACCUGUUCUGAUACACCCAUAUUGUAGCCUUCACACUCAACUGUUAUGAUUGCAUACACGAGGCAUCGGGAUCAUGCGUGGACACCCAGAGCGUGAAGACAUGUCCCAGUUCCACUCAAUGUGCAGCAAUGAGGGUCACGAUCUGAAGCGGAAGGGGCAACAAUCGCAGAUAUGACACUGAAGAGCUGUGCUGCACCUGCUGAGUGUCUGACACGGUCAGUUAACUUCGGAAUCUCAAGGAAAUUGCUAAAUAGCAAGUGCUGCACAACGGACCUCUGCAACUCUCAGACUGUCCCAGAAUCCAGCAGUAGUACCCCAAAUGGGAAAUAGUGCUUCACAUGCAACGGCCAGGAUUGCCUCACCACUCUAAACUGCCUGGGGGACGAGAAUAGCUGUAUCUCCACUAUAAGUAAUGUUUCACAUGAUUGGUUCUCUAUUAUUCCCAAAAAUGUCAAAUUCCACUCAUGACAGUGCUUGUUGUUCUAUAUAUCAAAUGAUGUUCAGAAAAUGUGUCUUUGUCUGUGCACAGCAUAGGUGUGACGGUAAACCGAGGGAAUAACAGUUCUUGUGCUUGUAGCUGAGGUCUCAGGCCAGAAGGUUUCCAUGAAGGGAUGUGCCAGCAAGAGUAUAUGUGCAGGGUCCAUGUCAGCUCAACUGGCAGGCAUAAGCUUCAAGCUGGACUGUUGUGACGGCAACCUGUGCAACAACGCACAGAGCCUCGCCGCGAGCCUGCUGCUUCUGGUGGCCCCCCUGCUCUCUGUCACCCUCUUCCACUGAGAAGCACAGUCCAAUGAUGAUUCACCUCAUCCAACCAUCUUUCUCUGCCGCUUUCCUCUGUGCUCACAAUCUGCUCAUCCUCUGUCCUGUAACACCCCUCCCCAUCAUGAUCGCAUCCCUUUGCCAUCUUAAUUUUGUGCCUUUUACAUAAUGUGGUGUCUAGGGGAUAUUUCUUAGACAUAUUUUUAGGGUGUUUUUUACAGAACUCAAUCUGUUCAUCAUGUCUUGUGAUCUACACCCAUCUUUGGAAUGCACAACACACCCCAACCUCCUCUUCCCCCCCCCCUUCCCCAAUAACAUGACCAUCCCCAAAAAGUGUUAUAUACUGAAGCCAACUGAACACAUUAUGCACUGUACCCAGAUCUCCAAUUUGUGACUAUUUUGAGUCGUUUAAUAAUGACAAUGAGAAUUUAUUGUUCUAUCAUACACAUCCAUUUUUGCCAGGGCUACAGCCCCGAACCUUUGGAGUGUAGCCCUGAAUAUAAUUUUAAUAUCUGAACAAAAGAAACUAUGUGUGUGAUGAUGUGUGAGUUUUUGUAACAUGAUGUAACAGUCUGUCAAAAUAAAUGUUGUGUCUAGCAUGUCAGUGAACAUCUCUAGCUCAGACUAACUCUGUCUGAAGGGGUGUGGGUCUGAUGGUCCGCGCUGAGUGACCUGUAUGGGGAGCCUGCACCCCUGGAGCACUGACAGUUAAACGGCCCUGCUGUUCCUGAUGCGUCCUAUAGGGAGAGGAAAAGUUUAUGAGGGACACAAAGAAGGACUGCUAAAUGUAUAAUCUUUGUUGGGUAAACCA